rnacentral:lncRNA from 1 species
CCGGCUUCUGGAUUAGAACCCGAAUCUCUCCGCACCUAGAACUUCAGAGUUGUGAGGGUUCAAGCUGGCUCAGCCUCUGCUUUGGCUUCUAAUGGAGAUCAAAGAAGCCUAACAGAUCGAGUCCCUAAAGACUAGGAAGAGAUAAUUCUGAGCUUGCCAGCUUCUCAACUGGUUGACUCUUCCCCAGAAGAGGUGCUAGCCAAG